rnacentral:rRNA from 1 species
CGGGGGGCAGCAGUAGGGAAUCUUCGGCAAUGGACGGAAGUCUGACCGAGCAACGCCGCGUGAGUGAAGAAGGUUUUCGGAUCGUAAAGCUCUGUUGUAAGAGAAGAACGAGUGUGAGAGUGGAAAGUUCACACUGUGACGGUAUCUUACCAGAAAGGGACGGCUAACUACGUGCCAGCAGCCGCGGUAAUACGUAGGUCCCGAGCGUUGUCCGGAUUUAUUGGGCGUAAAGCGAGCGCAGGCGGUUAGAUAAGUCUGAAGUUAAAGGCUGUGGCUUAACCAUAGUACGCUUUGGAAACUGUUUAACUUGAGUGCAAGAGGGGAGAGUGGAAUUCCAUGUGUAGCGGUGAAAUGCGUAGAUAUAUGGAGGAACACCGGUGGCGAAAGCGGCUCUCUGGCUUGUAACUGACGCUGAGGCUCGAAAGCGUGGGGAGCAAACAGGAUUAGAUACCCCAGU